UCCGGUUUGGCACCGGCAGUCUCCAAUGAGUCCCCGGCAUUACCCGCUGGCAACAUUGGACAGGGGUUGCGCUCGUUGCGCCACUUAAGGCAACACCUCACGGCACGAGCUGACGACAGCCAUGCAGCACCUGUGCAGGCUCCCGAAGGAGGACCGGCUUUCACCGGCUUCACCCUGCAUGUCAAGUCCAGGUAAGGUUCUUCGCGUUGCGUCGAAUUAAGCCACAUGCUCCGCCGCUUGUGCGGGUCCCCGUCAAUUCCUUUGAGUUUUAAUCUUGCGACCGUACUCCCCAGGCGGGAAGCUUAAUGCGUUUGCUGCGCCACCGAAAGGUAAACCCCCCGACGGCUAGCUUCCAUCGUUUACGGCGCGGACUAC
rnacentral:misc_RNA from 1 species